UUUGCCUCUAUUUAUUUUUUAAAUGCACAUGCUGCUAUGUGUUUAUGUUAAGAGAUGGCAGAUUGAAGAAAUGAGACUUGAAUUGCAAU